UCUCGAUCCAUGUGAGCAGCAAUGCCACCCCCAGCAGAGAAAGCCAUAUUCCUUUAAGGAAAGGUGAACAAUGAAAACACGAGGAUACGUGCAAGGAGAAAAAGAAACACCACACACCUUUAACAGGUCAAAAAAGCCACACGAUGCUUCUUUUUUUAAAAAAAGCAAAACUUGCGGGUACUCCAGAAGGAGUAUUUUGCUCUCUGGAGCACCUCUCCCUUUUCCUUCUUGAAGGGAGAAGCCAUACACCAAAACUGUGCAUGCGAUCGCUUACUGGCGUACAGAAAGCACCGCUCAGGAUAAUUUUAGCCAAAAAAAAACACCCAAACAACUCCGGACUUCAUCAUCUGACACCAUUUUCCCCAACCGAAGCGAAGGCACGGGAAGGAGCCGCCUGCUGCCGGGGGGAGAUGGAUGCCACAAGCUUAUCAUGUUGCAGCCCCACACCGUCACUGGAUUCACUGGAAAAUAAAUCCACUGUAAAGGCAGCGAUGCUCAGCGUGGGAUCUGCCCAUGCAGCUCACCUUCCAGGACAAAGUAUUAACUAAGGAAGAGAGCAGUGAAGGUGAUGAAGCUCUGGAGCAGGUUGCCCACAGAGAGCGUGGAGUCUCUGGCCUUGGAGAUGUUCAAACAUUGGCUGGGAAAAGCCCUGAGCUACCUGCUGUGACUUCAGAGCUGGAUCUGACUUCAAAGGUGGUUCUGCUUUGAGUGAGGACGGGACCAGAUGACCUCCAGAGAUCCCUUCUGAUCUGGAGUUUCUGUGAUUCAGUGUUAUUUGCUACUUUAGAUUUAUUUUGUGCAGGACUUGGUUACCCAGGAAGAAUCACAGUCAAGGUCAAAUUCUUCAGGAGAACAUUGUUCCAAAAAUGUGUGCCCAUUGGAGUGAACCAGCCAUCCAUGUGCAAGUUCAGACUUUUACUGAGACAUACUAGAGCCCUCCUAUUGAGCCUUCAGUAUUUUCUGAAUAUUAGUUUUGUCAUCAGUUCGUGUUAGCUGUGUGCAAAGUCACUGUGAAAUUUCAUGCUAUAUAACAAAUUCCUCCAGCUUUUCCCACCUCCAUCUCUGAUAAUGCCAUGUAGGCAACAGGACCCCCCAGAGUCGGUGCCUCUUGCAGAUAACAGAUACUUUGUAAAAUCAUGACUUUCCCUGCAUAAUUUUGGGUUGUAUGCUCUGGAAAACUUGGCUCAAGUGCAAGAAAAAAAAAAAAAAAAAAAGAUGUAUUAUUUUCAUGAAGCACAACAUUUUAUAAUGUGAUUGCCUGUCCCAAGUGCAAUCAAUCUGUCCAUUGAGCUGGCAGUGUUUAGAAGUAGAUGAAAGUCUCUACAGAUCUGAAGCCUCCAAAUGUUCCAGAGCCCCGUGUUGGGAAUACAGUGACACACAAGGAUAAUAUGUACACAUACAUACAUUACAAACAUAUUUUUUCUUACUCUAUUUUUCCUUCCAUGAACAUUAGGGCAAUGAGAAAUGGUGAAAUUGUGUGUUAGUAAUGAGCCACGUGGCCAUAAUAAAACAUGUCCAGUGAUAGCACACGUCAAAAUCCUUUCUUC